GGGGUGAUGAUUGCGAUUGUUGAUAAACGCUUUGAACGUGGGACCAACACAUCUCUCCACAUCACAAUGUGUAGAAAACAACGCCAAAGAACGCCUGGGAGUCAUUGGAAAGUGUUUUGCGAGCGCUGUUUCAUCAUUCAGAACCUAACGCAGACUUGACGUUUCAAAACUGCUUGUAGGUAAGCUUACUUUAAAAUCAUAUAAAGGAAUGUCGUUCCUAUGCGUACGCUGGAUUCGAUAAUAAUAAAUCGUUAGUUAGGUGGUUAGUAUACCUAAUAUGUGGUUUUAAAUUUUUUGAGGUUCCUUCCCUACAUGCAAGGUAAAGAUGAUUUUUUUAUCGCUAUCCCAUGUGGGUGUGGGACGUAUUGUUAUCAGUAUUUUUAUGCAUUAAUAAGGGUUAUAAGGGUUUAAAGUGCUAAAUAUAAUCUACGGAACCCUACACUGCGCGUGGCCUGAUUCGCACUUGGCCGGUUUUUUUUUCUUCGUAAAACCAUCAGCACGCUGCGGGAUUGUCUCUUUAUGCACAUCCUUUGAAAAUUUUGCAUAUAAACCUACUUUUUAUUUAUUAUGAAAUAUUUUUUUCAAUAUCAAUUUAUUUAUUACAUAAUUUACGUGUUUUUUAACCUGACCUUUGUUUUCAAAGACCGUUGUUUUUAAAAUGCUUUUAACUAAAAACUUAAAACUCUCGAAAAUCGCAAUUAAGGAUUUGACGAGUGUCGAAACAUUACGAUGUAAACGUAAACGUUGUGUAACUUUACAUCUCGUGUGCAUUUAUUUUUAAUAGCCGAGGAGUGAGUGAAGGCUAUCACCAUGAUGCGCAAUUGUAUUGAUGCAAUGAUAUAACUGAUACUUACUUCAUAAAAACUCAAUGACUAUGGCAUUAUACAAGCACAUUCAAUGCCUGGCAGUGAUCAUUGCUAAGUUGUGGAUGACGAGCAAAUUAUUCUUUACUUUUCGACGCCCCGCGGUUUUACCCACGUAGUUCCCGUUCCAUAAAAAUAGCCUAUGACAUUCACAAAUAAUGGCUUUCUAGUGGAAAAAGAAUUGUCAAAAUUGAUUCAGUAGAUCCAAAGAUUACCUACCCCCAACAACACCACAAACUAAAUUGAUUCCACAGAAAAAGGCAAACGAUCUAGAGAGACAGACGGAAGAACAAUACAGCCAACGAUAUUUAAUACUAGAGAUACACGCACUAGCGAAUCAAAACUGAGGCGGAAUGUCGAGUUGUGUGUUCAGAAAGUGUAAAAACUAUAAAUGUACUUAAAUACACAAUGUAAGUAAACACAAAAUUGUGUAUGUGUGCGCUCAGUGGAGUAGCUAAAUUCGUGAUUUUGUAGGGACAUAACAUGUCUAUAAUAAAAAAUAUCGUUGAAUAAAGCGGUAAAGAUUUAAUUAGCAAAAUUAUUGAUCGUUGUGAAUUUGUUGCAUAUAGAUUAUGUGUUAGGUAUUAUACAGUAUCUAGGCACGAGUACCUACCUAAGGCUGAUUAGGUGAUAAAUAAAGAAAAACGAUUAGCAUAUCAAACUAAAAAAAUAAAAUCUUUAAAUUAAUUAGUUUUUAAAUUAAUUAUCUAUACCUAUCUAUUUUAAAAUAAUCUAUUUCAAUAAUACAAGUAGAUAAGAAGGCACUAUUUUGUGAUUCCGUAGAUUGUAUCCACGUCACCGUACCCAUGUAGGUAUCGUAUCUACUCUUAAAGUAUUGGUAUCUACCAUAGAUUUACGAUUCGGUACAAGUACCUAAAUAAUUCUAUGGUAUCUACAUUAAAUUAAUAAAAUACAUAAAAUUAACUUGACGGAAACGAUUAAAAAUGGACACCAUAGAGUACAUUGGUGACAACCAUAGAAUUCUUGUACCGAAUCGUAAAUCUAUAUAGUGACAACUGACAGCGCAACAUGUAUAACCCGUGCGCAUUAACUUGAAACCUGGCUUUCAAACACAACCAAAGAAUCACAGUACAGACAUUCAUUCGAGCCGUGUCAAGGUAGGCACUUAGACAAUAAUUAUUACAAUUUAACAUUAGCAGGCUCCCUUACCUAAAAGAGAGGGAAUAGCUUUACCCCACCACGUUGCUCCAAUUCAGGUUGGCGGGCUUAGGAUAAUUACCACAGAACAUUUUCAAAAAAAGCUAAAAUUACAAUAAUAAUAAUAAUAAUAAUAAUAAAGCUUUAUUUUUCCCAUUUAGACAGUACUUAACAAUAUCUUAAAACUAUUUUAACUAGUCUAUAUAUUAAAUAAUUAAUUAGUUAAUAAUGGGCUCCUUCGGGUAUAAGCCUCCUCCAAAAAAGAGCAAUUCGAGCAAUAUAUCAAUUAAAAUCACGCGAGUCCCUUCAGCCCCGGAUCUUCAAAAUAUUUUAGGUGGGGCAAAAACUGAGAAAUCCCGCCCCCGCCUACUUAUAUUUAUUUAUAUCAUCCUAUAUAUAUAUAAUUUCACUAAUUGAUUAAUUUAUAUAAUAAAUUCACUUGAUUGACAUUUGGACAUAGCUUAAAUAAUGCAUUCAUUGAUGUAUUUUCUGCACGGAUAAAAGAAAAAAGAAACUAAGAAAAGUAAAACGUAUUUUGAACUAUGCCUACGCAUCUCGCGAAAUGUAGGUAAUGUUCGGGUAGCACGUCUUACCAUAUGUUUUCUGUGGUCUUACUCCGCGCUCUGGGUCGGUAUUUAGUAUAUCGGUCGAGUUUUUGGUCAUGAAAUAUCUGGACUUGUGCUAUUAUUUAUUCCGUGGGCAUGUUAAGUAAAUGAUGAUUUGUCCAUUAGUCGAUAAAGUGUGAAUUUGGCCGCCCCCUGAACAUGCCGCCCGGGGCAUAGGCCCCUGCUUGCCCCCCCCCCUAGAUCCGGCACUGAGUCCCUUCGUCAAAAGUUUAAAGAAAUAGGUAUACUAACAGUAGCCUGUCAAUAUAUAUAUAACAGUAUAGUAUAUGUAAGACAAAAUAUUCAUUUGUACAAACGAAAAGGAGAUCUAAACCCACGUCUUAAUAGACACGGGCAUAAGUUAGUUAUUUCUGCAUAUCGUCUUCAAAGAGUAAAAAAAUCUUUUGUAGGUUUGGGUGUACUCUUCUAUAAUAAGAUCCCCAAGACUGUGAUGGACCUGCCAAUGCAUAGCUUUAAGCAAUGUGUUAAAAACAUUUACUUAGUCGAGGGUACUACAACAUUGAUGAGUUCCUUAAUGAUAAAGAUGCUUGGAGGCCGUUGGAUCAGCUUCCACCUUCACACAGGAAGUAAAACUAUAAGAAAUGUAAACAGUAAUUGUUAUCAAUUGUAAAUUAUAAUACUGUAUGACUUUUUCAAAAGAGCAACUGUUGAGUUUCUUGCCGGUAUCUUCUCAGCAGGACCUGCCUUCCGAACCGGUGGUAGAAUCUUUACAAAUAGUCAACUGACGUGUCAAAAGUGCUUGUAAACUGAGCCUACUUGAAAUAAAUGAUUUUUGAUUUUGAUUUUUGAUUCCAUCUUUUUCCAUUUGUCCCUUUCUUUUGUGAGUUCCAUCCAACCUUGGCCGGCCACUGCGGUAAUGUCGUCCACCCACCUUCCUAUAGGCCUUCCUACUUUCCUUUUUCCAAGUGGACCUUUCCAAUAGGUAAUUUUCUUAGUCCACCGUUUGUCCUUUUGCCUGCCAAGGUGGCCUGCCCGUCUCCACUUACAAAUUACAAAUUACAAUACAUAAGUAUAAUUUUAGCAGACUCAGAAAUGGAUUACAAAAAUAAGAAAACCAAUGUCAAACAAAGGUUAUGGUUAUUCACAAUAUUAUUUUGUCAGGACAACUUAAUUAACAAAUCAAACUGUAACCAACAUGAAUUUUUGACGGCCGUGGCGCAGUGGUAUGCGCGGUGGAUUUACAAGACGGAGAUCCUGGGUUCGAUCCCCGGCUUGGCCGGAUUUUCUUAAUUUGGUCCAGCAGGGCCAUUAUGUAACUCGGUGAAUGCUUUAAAAUCACAGUCACGACAACAAAUGGCAGCGAUUUUUCGUUUUUGCGAUCAUGUAACAUAGAUCUUCCACCGAAAUGACGUCAUCUUGGAUCGUUCUCUGUCACGGUCACUUGUAGGGAUUUAUUCAAGUUUUAGGCCUGUUUUUACGUAUCGAUAGUCAGUUUAAGCGAUUAUGUAAGCAUUGUGAUCAUAGAAAUAGGUGACACUGAAGUUGUCAAAGUCAAUCGCUAUAGAAACUAAUAGAGAGCAGUGUUUUAACAAAGUUUACUUGACGCCUGUGAUUCAUUAUUUACAAAUAAAAGGACUUUUAGGAUUUUUUUGAAUUUUGUACUAUAAAGUGUUUACUGACAUCGCCGUGUCCUACAUGCAUUUGUAUUGUACGCGGAAACGGAUCUAAAAGGAUGACUUUGCAUGCUGAGAUCCACAGAGAUCUAAGUGAUCCAUUACAGCUUUGUGAGACCGAGUUCAUUGCAAAACUUUCGUGUCGCGAUACCAGCAGGUUUUAGAAGAAAUACAAAGUCUUCGAACAACUGCUGUUCGCAAUAAACUAGAGGUCUUGGCAGCUUUAAGCAUUUAUGCCAAUGGAUCAUACAAAUGUCUCUAUGAUGGCUAAGGCAUCUUUUACCAAAUGCCUACAUGAGUCACUGACGCUCCUGAAUACCCCAGCUGUUUAAAAAAAUGUGUUAAGUUCCCUUUGCAUUAAACACAAAAUCAUUAUAAAUAAGUAAAUAUGUGAUGCCAAUCUAAUAAUAACAUAGUGGAUGCUCAAUUUGGUGGUGUAUCAUAUGACUUGUACAUGUGGAACCAGUGCAAUAAAACCACUUGAGGAAAACCUGCCCAAUAGAGACUGCUGUUGGUUGUUAGGUGACCAAUGUUUGCAUGAUGACCCCCAUCUUGGGAGCUGCUCCUAGAUCCCAUUAAGAUAUGCACAACAUUGCUGUGUCAGAAAUACGGUGGAGCCUUGUAGUUGGGUGCAUAUUGUAAAAUGUUUCCUCACUCCAAAACCAUGAACUCUGGUUUCCUAAACCCUCAAGCUAUGCAGCCGAAGGAGGAGACUUAUCACAGGAGAAUUACUAAUAAUUUUGAAGAAGUGAAGAGCUUAACAAUGUUUCAACCAACACCUAAAGAAGCUUUCACUUGGCUGUUAGAUCAAGGGCUGGAUACAGAAAACAGUAAUCCUUGUGAUGGCAGUAUUGUCCAAGGAUUCCUCACUCAAAACCAUGAUAACAAGUUGCUAGAACCCUCAAGCUAUGCAGACAAAGGACUGGAUAUAUUUUUUCGUGACCAAGCCUUCUGUAUAAUUAUUUAUACUUAAACCAUACAAAGCACUAUCUAGCCCCAAAGUAGGCAUACAGAGUAGCUUGUGUUGUGGGUACUAAGAUAGUUGAUAUUAUAAUAUUCAUUUACAUUUAUAUACUACCUAUAAAUACUUAUAUAAUGUAUAAAUACACACACACUGGAAAAAACCCAUGCUCUUCACACAAAUAUUUUCCAGGUGUGGGAAUCGAACCCAUGACCGUGGAUGCAGGAGCACUACUUACUGCGCCACGCGUAUGUGUUUUUAUUUUGAAGCAAAUUAUUAAAGUUGAUAAUUCAAAUUGUAGUCAUGUUUUUAAUUAAUCUAUAAUUAAUUUUUAAUUUACAUUUUUGUUAAAUAUUUACCUAUACUUCAGUCUAUUUUUGUUAGAGGGGGUACCUAUAUGUGUAAGUAGGGUCGUUUCUUGAUUAAAUUAAACUAAAGAAUGAAAGAUAUAUAUUAUAACAAAAUUUGUCAACAACAAUAUAUCAAGUCUGAAUAAAAAAUACCAACACAAGUAAA